ACUGGAGUGGGUGGAGUAACUGUUAUCAUUUAUAUAGCACAUUUAAUUGCAACGUUGUUGCACAGUUACAUUAAACCAUACAUUUAUAAAAACAUUAGCAGGUGUUCAAAAGGCCCUGUCUAUGACAUCACUUGCUGCUGCAGCCUGGCACAGGUCAGAGUAUUUUGGCGGUUGCCAUCUUCAAACGGUCGUAUUUUAAAAACUAUAAAUCCUACAGCAAAGAACUUUAUAUUGUGAGAAUCACAAGACCCAGACCUACAUUUUGAUGCAUAGUAUGUCUC